UCGUCCAAACAAAAGGGGGGUUCGAACCCACGGAAAAUAUCCAAGUGUGAGAUAAAACGGUUACAGAGAAAUUCGAUCUGAUUUUAUUCAUUUGAUUACAGCUGCCAUUUGUUAUUCUGAUAGCCAAUGCCCCUCAGGUUACCAUUGUUGCAGUGGUACUCAAUGGUGUUGUGCUAGCGGUUAUGUUUGUACAGGCACAGCAGCUUGUCUCGGUAUCGGGUAAGUCUAAAUAUAAAUAUCACUACACCCUUCAUCACACUUCUAUUCAUUUAGAAUCUGUUUUACGCAAGAUUUUAACUGUACGUUAUUUUGUUUGUUAAUGAUUAAAAACGAGCAAAGAAUGUUUAUAAAUCCUUGUACGACUUUGCCCCCGCAGAGCUAUAGAAAAACAGUACAUUUACGGGUGUUACACGGACUCUUUUUAGAUGAUACACGGACUCUUUUUAGUUGUUACACGGACACUUUUAUGAAUAGAAUCACUCGUGCAUGACCAGUGAGUUCAUGGCACUUUAACUUUCAAUUAGAAUUUGAACUUUUUGGUUCACCGACUUUAUUUCCUGUCUUUUAUUGAAACAAAUAUUUACGUAGCAUCAAAUCUUUUUUCAAACAUUUCCAGUAAAAUACUAAUCAAAUCAGUACACUAAGGGAUUAGACAUUUAACUUCAAAAAGGGGGGGGGUAUGGCUAUCUCCUAUAAAAGAUAUUUUGAUCCCAAAUUUUAUGAGAAAAAAAAAUAUUAUGGUCAAGCAGAUGACAAAUUAAUGUUUUGCAUGAUUCCUAAUUUUCUGAAUACCGUAAAUAGUGCUAAUUUAAACAAAAACAUUUGGGUGAUGGCGUUGAAAAGUAAAUAGUUAAUAUUCUCAAAAUAGAACAUACCGCUCCCUUUAUGAAGCAAAAUAUUCGGUCAAUAAAUGUUUUCUUCAAUAUAUGGAUAUGAAUAGUAUUUUGGACAAUGCUGAAAGUAAAGAAAUGAUGAUACUGACGUGUAUAUUUCAAUAAAAAUAAAACAGGAAAUAAGUAAAUAAAAAUCAAAUCUAUUCAAAAGAUAAAAUCCUUACUCACCCAAUGCACGAUUGAUCCUAUACAAAAAGUGUUCAUGUAAUACACGUCCAAAUAAGGCAGCAAAUCUAGAAGAAAAUCAUUCAACUUUGUCAUCAAUUUUGGGCGGUAAGCUGCGAUUGGAUCAUAAUGUAAAGUGUUUAUUCCCGAUCAACACUUGCAGAUCUAGAGACGAGCAUGAAUAAAAAAAAAAUAAAGUAUAUGCCUGAAUAUUUAUAAUAUUAAAGACAAAAUCCAUUUUUUCAUAAACAUUUCAUUCACUAAUGAAGAAGGAAAUUCAUUCUUUUGAUACAUUUAUAUUGUUAUCGAAUUUAUAUCAGUGGCGGAUCCAGGUCCAAAUCCAGGACAAAACAGGGAAGGGGGCCAACUGUAUGUCCCCAUUUAAAUGCAUUGAUCAACCAAAAAAGGGGUGUUCCAACCCCGGGACCCCCCACCACUGAAUAUUAAAUUCAUGUAUUUGGCAACAAACGCGCGAUUUUUACGAUUUUUUUUAAAGGGGGAUGGGGGGAUGGAAUGGCACAUCCUGCUGCAUUUUUUCAUAAAAAAAAAAUCACAGCUGCCUGUUAUUUUUUAAAAUAAAAUACCCCCCCCCUCUCCCCGCUUUCCGUUUCAUCCAUAAAAAUCAAACGUUAUCCUACUUACCACUAAAAAAUUUCUUUAAUAUACUAAUUUUUUACGAAGUUGCAUUUUAAAAAGUUUUAAUGUACAACAUUCAUCUUUUACUUGAAACGGUUCUUUUUUAUCAAAUUAUCAGAUUCCUGAUUUUUUUUUUCUUGAAAAAAAAUCUCGAUUGAAGGGAAAUGAAAAAAAAAGGUGUUUAAAUACUAUAAUUUACAUUUACUGCUUUAUGGCUAUCUAAAUUUCUCAAAUGUUUAGUCUUGCAAAAUGUAUUAUUACUUUCUUGAAACGUCGUAACAAGUCAGAUAAAAAACGAAAGUACAAAAGAAACAGGCCGGUAACAACCAGCCGAAUAGUUUUUCUGCACUUGUAGUCAGGUCAAGGUCCUCGGCUAUCGCCUCGGACCUUGACAUGACUACUCGUGCAGAAAAACUAUCCGGCAACGGUUGUUACCGGCCUGUUUCUUUGUUACCUUUGUAUUUUAUCUAAUACGUAAUCCAAAGUACUGUAAACAUGACCUUGAUAUUUGUGGUUGUGAUGAUGUAAGUACGUGAUAUAUAAUAAAACAACGGACUAGCAUGUAAAACAACAUUGUUUUUUGUGUGCCUUUUUAACAUCGGAAUACACGUAAAUGACACGUCUAUUUGUGUAGUUGACUUGCAUAUUAAAUAUAUAUAUAUAUAUUAUCAAUAUACUGUUAUGAUACAUGUUAAAACUUAUUUUGUUUUGUUACAGAGUUAUUGUUGGCAUUGUGAUUGGAUGUCUUGUCAUAAUGGCAGUGAUUGCGAUCCUGGUUUAUAAAUUUGUCAUCGGUUAGUAUCAUCUUGUCUCUAUAACAGUAAUUGCGAUCUCUGUUUACAGACUUGUUAUUGAUUGUCGCUAUAUUAGUGAUUGAGUUCCAUGUUUAUCCGUAUUCAUGUGAAAUUCAAUUUAACCCCUUAGUCAGAGAUGUAUAACACACAAUUGUACGUGUUCGCUUAUUUAAAUGAAAAGCAUAUCAACAUUGAAAGUAAAGCAAAGGUAAAUCAUUUGAUUGACUGAUUCGACCCACAAAAACUUAUUCUUAUAUAGGUAAAAACGAUGAUGAACUUUUUUUUUUUAUAUAUGCUAUGAAAUUAAACAGACCUUGAUAAAUCCAAUUGCACGAGUUCACUAGCUACUUAUAUCUAUAUUUACGUUUAUUUAGCUUAUAUGAACACAGGAGGCCUUCGGGGUCAACUCAAUAGUUCAUUAGGUGGCGUCUAGACUUCAAUAUACACAAAACGAAGAUACAUUUUAACAAUCCCAUACCCUGUGAAUUGUUUAUUUUAGACUUUUUAUAAUUUAGAUAACUUUUUACAUUUAUAUAAAUCAAUUAUGAGAAUUUUAGUCAAAUUGGAAAACAUGAAUUUGACAGCUAGAGUCCCUUUACACGUUUCGAAUAAUAGUUUAAUAUCAUCAAAUAAAACGUUCACUUUACCUACAUAUUUUUAAGUUUUUAAGUAUAAGUUAUUUUGUGCCCUCAUUCACGUUAAUAUGCGUCAUCAAAUAGAAACAAAACUUCAUUAUUAUAGAAAAAAUCAUCAUGUUUGUCAUGGUUUCAUUAUCUUGUCAUGUAAAAUCUGAGAAUCAUUUGCAGCUUUGCAUAGAAAAUCGAAUGUUAAAACAUGAAAUUAUUUCGGACGAUCUCAACUUCUAUCAAAAUAAGUCGUAGUAAUAGUAAUCGUUGUCCAAUUUUUAGAUCGAUGACAUUGUUAAUAUUAAAAUAUGGAGACGUGGUAGCAUUGUCAAUGAGACCAUAAUCCACAUAGUCUAUAAACAAACAAUGUCACCGAACGGCAAAACUCCAUACUGUAUAGUCAUCUAUAAAAUGUAAAACAAUUCUAACGAAAAAAUAACAGCAUAAUUUUUGACAAAAAAAUAAACGAAAAAAAAAAAAUAUGACAUACAGCCUCCAACGACAAACAAUGAAUUACAAACUUCUAGCAUUGAACACACCAAUAAAAAAUGAGUCUGGGUUAUAUAAGAAAAUGUUUGUACCAAGUCAGGAAUAUCACAGUUGUUAUCCAUUCGUUUGAGUGUUUUUCGCCGAUUCAAGGUCAAUUACAACUAAUAAAUAAAACAUGUUUUCUCAGACUAAAAUAUUAAUCGGUAAAUGUAAAAGACUUGUAACAUAUAUGACUAGCACUGCAGAGAAUUACACGUUUUAAAGUAUAUGCUUUACGUUUGAUGAAUGUGCCCAUUUUUUUUUAACGAAAAACCGAAAAACUGAUAUGAUAACUUUGUGUUAUAUUGUUAUAUUGUUAUAUUGUUAUAUUAUAAUUUCUUUUUCAGCGAGGAGAUCAUAGAAACUUUCACACAGAUAAUUCGUGACACAAAGCUCAUAAAUGUUUGUAAACAAAGGAUGUUUUAUAUAUGGUAUUCCUUAAUAGUUAUCCCACAAGGACGCGGUAUGUCAGUGUAAGAUCACCCCGAUGGCCAGAUGCCAGAGGGUGAUCUAACACUGACACACCAAGUCCGAAUGGGAUAACUAUUUUACAUCCCAGCUGUUUUAGAUUAGACGAAAAACCGUCUACAAUUCACAAAAUCGAGUUUAGAACACCACACAACCAUUAUAAUAUACUUUAUAUAUUACUAUAUGAUGUAUACCCUUUAUGACCCCCGAACACGAUGAGUAGAUAUCAAACAAUGUCAACUCGCCCCACUUGCCAAUCGGCCCACACUAUAUCGCCACUUUAUAAAAAAAAUCGCCCCACUCUUGUUUACCGACUCUUCCCACUUUUGAAAAAGUGUAAAAUCAAAUUGAACAAUUAGUCUGACAACUCACUUAUUAACGAAAAAGGUUUAAACCCCGCUAAAUUAAGGUCUGCCAACUCGCCCCACUUAUAAAAUGAUCUUGCUUCCUUUAAGUAUGUUAAAUUACUGGUAGUUCGUAUCCAGUCGUCCUGGUAUAGUGGUAUGUGUCGUGGCUUGAUAUGCUAAAGGUCUUAAGUUCGAAUCCCUGCAUAUACACUGGAUUUUUUUCUACGUGAAUUUUGAUAGAUAGUCUUUUCCGUAUAAUUAAUUAUAAGUUUUAUAGUGGAUUUGACAUUCCCGCCAAAAUGUUGCAGAACAAAGGAAAGCAUGCAUAACAAAGAAACUCAAACUGGGGUGAUCUGGUAGGGGUGAUCCGGCUCAGAUCACCCCUGUUAGAACAAAGGAGCUGGGAUGUUACAAUUAUGAAAAUUACAUUUACCUGAUGCAAUGGACUUUGUAUCAACCUUUGUCAUACUUUUUACGAGCUACGUUUUACAAACAAUUUCAGAUUAUACAUUUUAGAUAUAAGAAAAUUACAAAGUUGUGUAUAUACAAUUGGAGAUUUUAUCAGUUUUUCCUUCGAAUUUACUUUCCUAAUCAGAUCUUAGUAACAUGCCAUAUGACAGUUCUGUGGUAUACUUAUUAUUAUAAGUGCUUGACUUAGCCUUUACAACUUUAUUGUGUAUUGUGUAAUGCAGACUUGCUUGAAAACUUAUAUCAAUUAUAGGUAUGAAGUUUUGUGAGUGAAUUCUAUAUAUUGUUGUUAUCGUUUAAAAAAUGUGUGCAUCCUGUAGUAUCUGAACCUCAACGGUCGGGAGUGUUAACAUGCAUUACUUCCAAUGAGCAAAGAGGUUGUUCUAUUAUUAUUGUCAAAUGAGAUGAUAUAAUAAAUAUACCCUAAUACUGAUGAAUUUACAAAAUAAUGUAUUCUUUCUGUUUGUCAUG
rnacentral:lncRNA from 1 species